rnacentral:rRNA from 1 species
CCCGUCACACCAUGGGAGUUGUGUUUGCCUUAAGUCAGGAUGCUAAAUUGGCUACUGCCCACGGCACACACAGCGACUGGGGUGAAGUCGUAACAAGGUAACCGUAGGUGAACCUGCGGUUGGAUCACCUCCUUUCUAGA